CUUUGGGGCUUCCCGAGACGUAGGUGCUGYUGCCGUGGUUGGAGUGCAGCACGAUAGGCAGAAACACUAUUAUUUCCGACAUACGAGAACUUUGAUCUUUUAACAAAGCGCAAAGCCUCAUUCAUCUGGUGCUCAACAUCAUACUUACUGUUUAUCUUCCUGCUCUGAUAUUUACUUCACAUACAAAUAUUCCAGAAGUAACUAGAACAUAAAAGAAGAAAUUUGGCAAGUAGUCUGUGUCUCUUGUAUCUCUUAAGCUAUAAGAGGUAUUGUAUUUCUUAUGCUCUGUUUUCAAGGUUUACUCGAAUAAUAUGCUGGAAGGUGAUUUUACAGAUUAACUAAUCCAACUGUAUUCUGUGAAAUCCUGUGUUUUGAGAUUUCCCACUUGAAACUUUGGCCUUUGCCCUUGCCUGUCUGUUAGAUUGUAUGGUGAAUUUCUGGUUGUAAAUAGGCUGAGAUAAAUUCAGGUUCUCCAAAAAUAAUGUGGUCUUG